UUAUAAGUGUGAGCCACCAUGCCCGGCCUAGGAUAUUUUUCAUUGGAACUUAUAUUUGAUCAGUGUGGGCAUGAUCAGGGGACCAUAGCUGUGGGCUCACCUGGGUCCCUAUUGCACUGAGUGACACUGAACAUGUUGCUUCCACUAUCUUGGCCUGCCUCAGUUUCCCUCUCUGUAAAAAAGGAGUGGUUGAACUAGCAGAUCUUGAGAGUCCUUGCAAUUAGCUCUCAUACUGAUGAAAUGCUCUCUGGAAAAUGUAGGAGACCUAUUUAGAUGUGAAUGUUACUAUUAGUCAGUCUGGGCUAGGCUGUACAGUGUAUAACUGACGAACCCUGACAUCUCGGUGGCUUAGCACAAUAAUGACAUAUUUCUCCCUCACAUAAAAUCUGUUGCAUCAUCUGGAACACGCGUCCUCCACGUCCUGAGGCAGGGGAGAGAACGACGAAGAAGGCACUUUGGCUCUGACCGCCUCUGCCUGGAAGUACAGUUUCCAUUCACGUUCUGCUGGUCAAAGGAGUCACGUGGCUCCACCCAGCCACAAGGGAGUCUGGGAGGUGGAAGGAGCCCUUGGAAUAUGUGGUCAUGUGAGGACAGAGUGAGAAGGUGGCUGCCUGCAAGCCAGGAAGAGAGAUCUCACCAGGAACCAAAUCAGCCACCACUUUGAUCUUGAACUUCACGGCCUCCAGAACUCCGGACAUGAGAAAUAAAUGUCUGUUGUUUAAGGUCAGUCUUGCCAUGAAAACAUUUUGAAGCAGCCCAGGGGCCGGCAGAUCGGCCAGUGGAGUGGGAGUGAUGGGGGGAGAUUUGUGAGCAGGGGCCAGGUUAGCAGUGGUUUUAUUACAUCCCAUUAAGCAUAUGGUCAUAAUUAUAAUAAGCACAUGAG